rnacentral:tRNA from 1 species
GCGAGAGUGGCGGAAUUGGCAGACGCACCGGACUUAGGAUCCGGCGGGGCAACCCAUGGGGGUUCGAGUCCCCCCUCUCGCACCA